GCCCCGAAUGCCCGGCAAGGGGCUGCUUCCAUCCCAGUGUAGGGCCACUGCAGGCACAUGUUCCCCCUGCCCCUGCUCCUGAGUGGAAGGCAGAGCUGAGGGAGUACCUUGGAGGGCAUCAAUCACCCAGGUGCCCUCACUGCCACUCAGGCCUGAAAGAGAAAUGGAGCAAUUUUCCAUUAAGGUCCUCCUACAAUGAAGAAGGAAGAGAUGGCAGGCCGUGGUGGGUACAUUUCCCUCAACCUACCCCUGUGUCGCAGCAGCCGGGGGCUUUGGCAACACAGCGGGAAGGGAUCCAUGGCAGCCUCACUGCCCCGCUGCUGCUUUCACACCCUGCAGGGCUGUUUCCCAGCCUGGCUUGACUGCAGCUUCUGCCCAGCCCCUGCAGGAAGGCAUUUGGCAUGUGCUGCCAGGCAACCCAAACUGCACCAUGGGCCAUUCCCACCCAGAGAUCCCUUGCAAUUUCCCAGUCUCUGAGCACAUGUGGAGGGGCAGCUCCAUGGAGGAGGGAGGACCCUGGCCCAGACCUAACAACCUGGCCAUCUUCCUGAGCAUUAUCCAUGACUUCACAAGUACUGAUUCCUGAUGAUGCAACCCUCCACAAUGCUGAAUGGUUCCAUCUGGUCCAGCUGUACUUUUUCCUUUCCACAGCAAUGGAGCAAAAGUCCAUGCAGAUGGCGCCAUAUCAUACUGGAAGCAAUGGCUCUGUGUCAGAUUCUCAUGGAGGAAAGGAGGAGUUGCCAGACAUGAGCAAAGGCAUAGGAGAUGCAGCCGGCACCACAACACGUAUUUCCAAUGCCCAGGAUGGCCUCGGAAGGGGUUUCUAUCAGGAAACAGGCUACUGGCUAGCAAUACUGGCAUUUUUGCUUUGUUUGGAGCUUGUCUUCGUGUUGUGCUUGUUUGGAAUCCGGUAUUUGGAAUCGGGAAGAGAAAACAAUGCUCCUGUGCAUCGUCAGCAGAUGUGCCUAAGAACACAGGCAGCGGGAGGUUGACAGUUUAUCCCAGCUCUCCACUUCUGCCCCUAUCUGCCCUGCCAUGGCUGCAGCAGCGUCAGGAGGCCGUCCCAAAACCCACCCCUCCACAACAAGACCCUCUGCCCCUCAGCCUCCUGGUCCUGUUCCCCGGCCAGGAAUGAAGGUGGGCAUCCCCUGUCUGCCAGGGCAGGGCUUGGCCCAUAUUUCAUAUUCAAAUAAAAGAAUAAAGUUUUCACAA